GCCUGACGGGAUAGCUCAGUCAGUAGAGCAUGAAACUCUGCACCUCAGGGAUGUGGGUUCGAGCCCCACUUUGGGCA